ACAACUUUGGCUGGAUCAGCUCUGCUUCCACCAUCUUGUUUCCAGGUCCAGUUUGAGCAGGUGCCUUUAACUGCUGAGCCAUCUCACCGGCCUCUUAUUCAUCUUCUUUGCUAUGUCUUGCCUCUCCUGAAGCUGCAGAAAAGGGGUUUCUAGCAGCUGUGAGCACCUGCACGUUCUUGGGCCCAUCAACAUCCUGCCAUGGAGGAGGGAGGAACUCACAAGGCCCAUCUCUAGCUGAGGUCUUCUGUACAGAUAAUGGUUGCUGGCAGAAGAAUUAGACUCUCUGAAAUAACAAGGACCUGAGAAUAGAAGGUGGCCUCUCUGGGGAAGGAAGAGGAUCUGUGGAGUUCAAGGAGGACAAGAGAGGGUGACCUUGGUCACAGUACACUGCAUACAAGUGCGGAGAUGUCAUCAUGAGACCCAGGGUUAUGUAUGACUAAUGUGUGCUAAUAAACUUUUUUUAAAAAAAAUUGGGUAUAAAAUCAAUCGGUCUGUGGAUUUAAGUACCAAUUCAUAAGUAGUACAGCAGAUUGCCAGGCCUGGUGGUGCAGGCCUGUCAUUCCAGUUACUUAGGAGGUUGGGGCAAGAGGAUUGCAAACUAAAAGCCAGCCUGGGCAACAGAGUGAGUUCAAGGAUAGCCUGAAAAACUCACUGAGAGCCUGUCUCAAAAGGCAAAAAGAGCAUGUGGUUCUUGGGGAUCGAACUCAGAUCACUGACCUUGGUGCCAGA